rnacentral:lncRNA from 1 species
GAAAAAACUUCCUAUUAUAUUAACAAUUUAAAAAUGCCCUAAUAAUUAUAAAACAUACACUAUGAAAGAAACGUGAGAAGUUUGUUCCUUAACGGUUGACAUUGUGAAAUGAAUAAUCUCUGAAGGCUUUUUCAUACUUUCCUCUCAAUUUUCCUGCUUACAAUUAAUUGCAGAUUCUUUCCUUUUUAAAAGUACAACUUUAUGACACAGAUUAUCCCACAUGGAAUGGAGAUGAGUAUAUACCACAUUUCAGCAGAGCGAUCGCUGUUGCUACAAGCAGAGAACAAAGGAGGGAGGACCCUAAGUGACUCCGUUGCGAGGAGGAGCACCCCACUCACUGUGUCACCCCCAGGAGAAGCCCAGUACACCCUGCCAAAGCAGUAAACACAGGUACGAAACUUGGAAGCGCACAGCGCCUGAUAUGAAGAAGUCUGAGCGUGAGCAGAGCAAAAGUAAUAGCCAUGAAGAUAGAUUGGUGGGGGGAGAGGAAAGCCAAAUACAUCUAGUACCCUUCAGAGGAAUGGGAGCGAAG